rnacentral:tRNA from 1 species
UCCUGGUUAGCUCAGUUGGUAUGAGCGCUCCACUGGAAAUGGAGAGAGAGGUCUCUGGUUCGACACUAGGACCAGGCG